AUAACGGUCCUAAGGUAGCGAAAUUCCUUGUCGGGUAAGUUCCGACCUGCACGAAAGGCGCAACGACUUGGGCGCUGUCUCGACCAUGGACCCGGUGAAAUUGCACUGGUCGUGAAGAUGCGACUUACCCGCGGAAGGACGGAAAGACCCCGUGAACCUUCACUGCAGCUUGGCAUUGGCCGCUGGUCCCGCGUGUAGAGGAUAGGCAGGAGGCAUCGAUCCGGAGGCGCCAGCCCCCGGGGAGCCGCCCUUGGAAUACUGCCCUCGCGCGACCGGCGUCCUAACCCGAGGCCGUCAACCGGCUCGGGGACCGUGCCAGGCGGGCAGUUUGACUGGGGCGGUCGCCUCCUAAAGGGUAACGGAGGCGCGCGAAGGUCCGCUCGGGACGGUCGGCAACCGUCCUUUUGAAUGCAAGAGUACAAGCGGGCUUGACUGCGAGGCCCACAAGCCGAGCAGGUGCGAAAGCAGGCUCUAGUGAUCCGGCGGCCCCGAGUGGGUGGGCCGUCGCUCAACGGAUAAAAGGUACUCCGGGGAUAACAGGCUGAUCUUGCCCAAGAGUCCACAUCGACGGCAAGGUUUGGCACCUCGAUGUCGGCUCAUCGCAUCCUGGGGCUGAAGUAGGUCCCAAGGGUUGGGCUGUUCGCCCAUUAAAGCGGUACGCGAGCUGGGUUCAGAACGUCGUGAGACAGUUCGGUCCCUAUCCUCCGUGGGCGCAGGAGAAUCGAUGGAGGCUGCCCCCAGUACGAGAGGACCGGGGUGGACGCACCUCCGGUGAACCGGUUGUCGACCAACGGCACGGCCGGGUAGCCGCGUGCGGCGCGGAUAACCGCUGAAGGCAUCUAAGCGGGAAGCCGUUCCAGGGAUUAGUUCUCCUUCCGGUAAGGGCCCAGGUAGACUACCUGGUCGAUAGACGGCAGGUGCAAGGACGGCGACGUCCUCAGCCGAGCCGCACUAAUCGCCCGAGCUCUUCCGGAA
rnacentral:rRNA from 1 species